CUGCCUUUCAUGGAAACUACUCAACUACCAUGUGUUGCCCCUGUCUGAUCAUGCGCCUCCUCUGUGUAAAUCAUUCAACCAUUUAUCUAAUUCAAUUGCUGGCCCGCUAACCUAUUUCUUUUCUUUCCUUUUUUUUACCUUGAUAUGAAGAUUCAUUGUCCAAUAUAGCUGAAAAUUCAGUGCAGUUGCUCAGUCACAAGAGACAAUACUAAUUGCGGGGAUGCAACGAAGAAAAUGAU
rnacentral:lncRNA from 1 species